GUGAACGCUGGCGGUAGGCCUAACACAUGCAAGUCGCACGGCAGCACAGUAAGAGCUUGCUCUUACGGGUGGCGAGUGGCGGACGGGUGAGGAAUACAUCGGAAUCUACUUUUUCGUGGGGGAUAACGUAGGGAAACUUACGCUAAUACCGCAUACGACCUACGGGUGAAAGCAGGGGAUCUUCGGACCUUGCGCGAUUGAAUGAGCCGAUGUCGGAUUAGCUAGUUGGCGGGGUAAAGGCCCACCAAGGCGACGAUCCGUAGCUGGUCUGAGAGGAUGAUCAGCCACACUGGAACUGAGACACGGUCCAGACUCCUACGGGAGGCAGCAGUGGGGAAUAUUGGACAAUGGGCGCAAGCCUGAUCCAGCCAUACCGCGUGGGUGAAGAAGGCCUUCGGGUUGUAAAGCCCUUUUGUUGGGAAAGAAAAGCAGCAGGUUAAUACCCCGCUGUUCCGACGGUACCCAAAGAAUAAGCACCGGCUAACUUCGUG
rnacentral:rRNA from 1 species